UACGUAGGGGGCAAGCGUUGUCCGGAUUUAUUGGGCGUAAAGCGCACGCAGGCGGUCUCUUAAGUUUCGAGUGACAGGUCAGGGCUUAACCCUGGCAGGCCUUGGAAAACUGGGGGACUUGAGGGCUUCAGAGGGACGCGGAAUUCCAGGUGGAGCGGUGAAAUGCGUAGAGAUCUGGAAGAACACCGACGGCGAAGGCAGCUCGCUGGGACGGUACUGACGCUGAGGCGCGAAAGCGUGGGGAGCGAACAGG
rnacentral:rRNA from 1 species